rnacentral:lncRNA from 1 species
UAUGCUCUGGUUCAUGCUCUUCCAUUGCUGACCCCAUGAAUGCGACUCCCAAAUUAAUCACCACCACCAAACACGCCCUUCGUAGUCAAAUACUCGAUGGGGCCCACCAAAAAAAUAUAUUCAUUUUUUGUAAUGAGAAAAAAUGAAAUGAAAUUCAAAUUCAAAUGAAAUUCAAAGCAGGUCAGCCAAGUCACGCAUCAGCAGUAGAUCGCUUCCUUCCUGGCCACAAGUUUAGAUACGCCUCCUUCGCACGUGUCACUCCGUGUGGGCCCACUUUCCGUAUCUGCCAAUUGAAUGGCGCGUGACGUCACGUAAACUGAACUCCACCCCUUCUGCUCCUCUCUUUCUCUCUCUUCUUCUUCCUUCUCUGCGACUUUCACUGUCACUCUAUUUUCUCUCUCUCUUUUCCUCUGUUUUUGCUUGUUGGAUUUCUUUUUCUCCUUUUCCUCUGUUUUUUCUUCUUUUAUCUGUUAUUCACUGAAAAAGGAACAGUGAUCUUCGGGGCAGUAAUUCAUGCUUUAUAUUAAUAGUAUUUUCUCUUAAUUUUUCGUUUUAGUAUCAUUUUCUUUUUGGCUUUUUUUGGCUUUUUUCUGUGGGGAAAUUUGGCGAUGUGUGGCUUAAUUCUUGAGUGUUUCUUUGGAUUUACUUUUGGUUUUGUGAAUCUGUGCCGGUUCUCUAGAGAUGUUUGAUUGGAACGACGAAGAGGUAAGAAACCACUACUCUGUUUAUCUUUUUGUGUUUUCUGGCAUGCUUUUUUUUUUUUUUUUUGUAAUUCGCUUAUUAAGAGGAACCAGUUCUUUAUCUGUUGUUUUGUUAGCUCGUAAUAGUUUUGAAUUUGGGAACUUUUUUGGUCUGAUGAUGAUAAUUCCUGCGGAACUGAAAUGUGAUGUGGGUUGGCUUUCUAGGUGUCUGCUUAGAUUGUUGGCUUCUAGGUCUUGACUAGACUAGUCUUUGUGUGUUGAGGACACCUGUUUGGGUUGUUCCAGCUCCUGGUUGACAGUAGAGUAGUGAAUUUGUGUUGGUUUGUUAAGGAGUCAAGGACAGAGGGUGGAAAUGCUUUGGAGUGUUUUGAAAUCGUUUUUGGAUGUUAUCUUGACAUAUAAUGAAGGUAAAAAAAUGUUCAUAAUUCUUGACAUGAAUCCAAGUGAUCAAUAAGAUGCCACUCAAAAUCCUAGGUGUUGGGAACUGGAAAAGAUUUUGAAGGAUGUUGUUAAAGGAAAUGCAUAAAAUUCCAGGUUGCUAGGAUGAUUUAAUCACAUGGGUUUUGAUUCAUACUCCUUGGCAUUUUUGCUUAGAUAGUGAAGGGAGGUAUGUUUAUGGGAUUGCUUACCCUUUGUAUGUCGCAGUUGUGGAGAUGUGAUACAGUUUUAGUAUCAGAAGCAGGACAUGUAAAAAUGCCUCUCAUGACUGACUGCAAAUUUUUGGAAUAGGGUAGAUAUAAUUGUGGGAUGGGAAUUGAAACUUGGGGGUUAGUCAGAAUAGUGCUUCUGGAACUUCCUCUCAGUAAUUAAACUGAAAUACAGGGAGGGUCAAGGAGAUGGAGUGCCUGCAUGCUCUACAAAUUUAGUUAUUACUUCGGAAUCAAUGGUUCAAACUCCGCUUUCAUCAGGAUUAAGUGGUCUAUGGCCAUGGUAGGUGCUGCACUCUCUUCCAAAAAGGAUGUGAAUAAGAUCAAAAGAUCCAGGCUAGGACAGGUGAGGAUGAGGGUGAGAGCAGAAAAAGCUUUUCCCAAGUAGUUGAAUCUCCUCCAAAAAAGAUAGAGAGAUCUAGGUUCAGAGAGGUGAGAAUGAGGUGAGAACAGAAAUAAGCUCUCUAAGUAGUUGAAUCUCUCCCACAAAUGAUAUAAAUAAGAUGAAAAUAUCCAGGUUAAGAACUUUGAUUGUUACGAUUUAAGGAGGUGAGACACAAAAAACUCCCUAUAGAAGGUGAAAUUACUUUUACAUUAGUCUGAACAUAUCAAACAAUGCACUCUACAACUUCCAUGUGGUGUCACAUUGUAGAAAAAUAUGGUUAUGUGUCUCAGCGUUGUAUUUUAUACAUAAGGCACACAUGUGGAAGAAGAGCACAAUUUGAUCUACGCAUUUACAACAUUUCAUUGAUAUUAAGCCUGUGGAAUAAUGAAUAUUAUGUGUAGUAUUGGAUUAGAGGAAACGUAUAAUUAAUUAUAUAUCUAGGUAUUUUACUAGUAUACAUUUUAUCUUGAUUAUAUAAAGAUAGACAUUCUUAUUUAAUACAUAUUUCCAAACACUUCCCCUCU